rnacentral:rRNA from 1 species
AGUGAACGCUGGCGGUAGGCCUAACACAUGCAAGUCGAACGGCAGCACAGUAAGAGCUUGCUCUUACGGGUGGCGAGUGGCGGACGGGUGAGGAAUACAUCGGAAUCUACUUUUUCGUGGGGGAUAACGUAGGGAAACUUACGCUAAUACCGCAUACGACCUACGGGUGAAAGCAGGGGAUCUUCGGACCUUGCGCGAUUGAAUGAGCCGAUGUCGGAUUAGCUAGUUGGCGGGGUAAAGGCCCACCAAGGCGACGAUCCGUAGCUGGUCUGAGAGGAUGAGAAGCCACAGUGGAAAGGAAACACGGCCCAGCCCCCGACGGGAGGCAGCAGUGGGAAAUAUUGAAAAAGGGGCGCAAGCUUGACCGCCCCAUACCGGGGGGGUAAAGAGGGCCUUCGGUUUGAAAGCCUGUUUUGUGGGAAAAAAAAACCAGCAGUUAAAUCCCCCCCUGUUCGCAGGGACCCAAAAAAAAAACCCCGGGCAACUUUCGUC